rnacentral:rRNA from 1 species
UACGUAGGGGGCUAGAGUUGUCCGGAUUUACUGGGCGUAAAGGGUGCGCAGGCGGCCAAGUGUGUGAGGCGUGAAAGCCUGGAGCUUAACUCCAGAAUUGCACCUCAAACUACAUGGCUAGAGCAUUGGAGAGGGUAGCGGAAUUCACGGUGUAGCAGUGAAAUGCGUAGAUAUCCGGAGGAACACCAGUGGCGAAGGCGACUUUCUGGCCUGUUCUUGACGCUGAGGCGCGAAAGCUAGGGGAGCAAACGGG